CCUACGAGUGGCUGCGGUGGGGAAUAUUGGACAAUGGGCGAAAGCCUGAUCCAGCCAUGCCGCGUGUGUGAAGAAGGCCUUCGGGUUGUAAAGCACUUUCAGUGGGGAAGAAAGCCUUGGGGCUAAUACCCUCGAGGAAGGACAUCACCCACAGAAGAAGCACCGGCUAACUCCGUGCCAGCAGCCGCGGUAAUACGGAGGGUGCGAGCAUUAAUCGGAAUUACUGGGCGUAAAGCGCGCGUAGGCGGUCUGAUAAGCCGGUUGUGAAAGCCCCGGGCUCAACCUGGGAACGGCAUCCGGAACUGUCAGGCUAGAGUGCAGGAGAGGAAGGUAGAAUUCCCGGUGUAGCGGUGAAAUGCGUAGAGAUCGGGAGGAAUACCAGUGGCGAAGGCGGCCUUCUGGACUGACACUGACGCUGAGGUGCGAAAGCGUGGGUAGCAAACAGGAUUAGAUACCCCUGUAGUC
rnacentral:rRNA from 1 species